GCCCCGCGCUGAGCGGCAGCCGCCCCCCGCCCCCCGCCGGCCCGCCCGGGACAGCCGCAGCCCCCCGGCGCCGGGCCCGUGCCGGGCCGGCGCUGCUUCCCCCCAGCGCGAGCAGCGGAGGGCGGCGCGGGGGCAGGUCCCGGCGUCGCUCCUGGCCGGGAGUGAAUAGUUAACAGCAAUGCUGUCUCACUUUUCCAAUGCUGGCAAGGACGCGGAGGGUGCUUCCCUUCUCCCGUGCAUCAGGAUCAAGUGCUGUGGGACCAAGCAUGCAGUGGCUGCCAGACCCAACGACAGCGGGUGAAACAAUAGUCCCAGGACCUCUGCAGUGCCCAGGCUCCUGCUCCCCGCAGAUGCUGGCUGUCACUAGAGGUCACCAGCACCACAGCACCGGCCCCACCACGCUCUCCCGAGCACAAGGGAGGGGAGCGGGGAGCAGGGAGCAACGGGACUCCACCCCCCCCCUACCCCCCCCGGGCUUCCAUGCGGCUCAUCGCGGGUGGCUGAUGAGACAACUCCGCAUUCCCGGGGCUGCGGUCCGCAGGCUGCGGGUGCUGCGCUUGCAGAGGGACACACAGGCAGCCCAUGCCCACAACAUGCUGCUUUCCAAAUAUUUUUUUAAAAAUAAAAACGUUGGAUACAAAAA